rnacentral:tRNA from 2 species
GCCGGUGUGGUGAAAUUGGUAUACACGCUAGUUUUAGGAACUAGUGCUUUCGGGCGUGGGGGUUCGAGUCCCUCCACCGGCA